UUUCUAUGUGGAAGAAUAGACAACGUUCCACGUGCUAUGAAAAGAAGAUUGCGAGGAAAAAAUUCCAAGUGAUGAGUUAUCCUACACUUGGUUUAUCGGAUGUUUUGUGCUCUCCAUUUCCCGAUGUCAGAACAUUUUUAUAUAUAUCUAAUUUUGGAAAAACUAAAGUCACAAUUAUUUUUUUUAUAAACAUUUCUACUUUUAAGAAAUUUUGUUUCAGGCUCGGCAUGGUCAUAUGGUGUUCUCAAUUUUUGGAUAGCUUCGGUCUAGAUGUUCUUAUGAGCUUAAGUUCUUAAGAAAGAAGGUUUAUAAAAUUGCCAACUCAAAUAAUUUUACGGUAUUUUAGGGCGAUUCUCCUCUGGGAAAAUAUCGUCGCGUAGCAACAGACCGACAGAUGUUUGACAUUAUCAAUAGAGUACGCCGCCAAGAAGUUGGUCACCAAGGGGUUCAUAAAACGUUUGAAAAGAUAGCACGCACCUAUGAUAACGUUACUAGAGACGCUGCUGGUGCUUAUAUAAAGCUUUGCACAACUUGCUGUCUGAAAUCCAGUCAAAUAAAGAAAGCUCCAUUGAAGCCGAUUAUCACUACAGGAUUCUUACAGCGUGUACAGGUAUUUUUAAUACUUUUUCACUUUGUUUGUGCUAGUUAGUAGUUUUUUUGUUACAUUAUACAUGUCUUUCUUUAGAUUGAUCUGAUUGCUAUGUUAUCCAAACCAGAUGCCGAUUACAACUACAUUGGCCAUGUCGUGGACCGUUUUAGCAAAUUCAGGAUAUUAUUUCCAAUGAAAGGGAAAUCAGCAAAUGAAUUUGCUUCAAACUUUUUUAGAAGUUUUUUAGCGACUUUUGGGUUACCAAAAAUUUUGCACUCUGAUAACGGUGCCGAAUUUAUCAAUCACGCUCGUUAAAAUCUCACAUCUUCUCUCUGCCUGGACACACGUGAUAUGGCCGGGUGAGGUGUCAUUUGUUCAUGGGAAACCGCGCCACUCGCAAUCUCAAGGUUUGGUUAAACAAGGAAAUAACACCAUCCAAGUGAUGAUUAGUGCAAGAGAAAAAGAGUCCCAAACUUCAACGUGGUCAGAGUGGCUUCCAGAGAUUCAAUUUAUCAUGAAUGCUUCAAUGGUGAGGAGUGUGAAAAAAACACCUUACGAAAUUGUUUUUGGCCAGAAGCCAAAUGGUUUGGGUCAAAUUUCUUCAAGUCUACGGUCAGUGGAAGAGGAUAUUGUUUAAUAUAUCAUAGAAGAAAUGGAAGAAAAUGGUGCACAAGAUUUUGAAAAUGCUGAAACUGUGGAUUUUUUAAAGCACCCAAGUACAAGAAAAUUAUCGGAUUGUUUGGAAGAUGAGUUUGAAACAACAUGUCCGAAAAGACAAAAACUCAGACAAAAUGUUGUGGAGGAGGGUGUAAGAAACGCAGAAAUGAUGCGUAGAAAGUACAGCAAUGGAAAAAGAAUUAAAGUUGCUGAUUUCCUGGAGGGGGAUAAUGUUUCUUUGACAAUUCCAAAAGGUCUUAGAACAUCUUCGGAUUUAAAAAGAUUGCCAUGUGUGAUUGUACACAAAUCAGGUGGUAACCAACCAACAUAUAAACUCCUCUGUGGUGAAGGCACAAUUCAACGGCGUUACACGGCAUCCGCGUUGCAGCUGUACCCUCAACCAGUAAGAUACGAAAAAUUGGAAAAGGAAGAUCAAUUGCAUGCGAUCGCUGUCUUGUCUAGUGUCAUUUUAAAUGCUGCAAAUUGGCUGUAAAACCAUUAGGGGACUGGUUGUGCGAUCUAUGUUUACAUAUUGCAAAAAAAGAUUUCCAGCAGCGUCAACAACAAAGAGAAGCAGAGAAAGAAGUAGAAGACGAAGAAGAAAGGGAGAGGCAAUGGAGGAGAGAGUUUUUGCCAUUAUUAUACAAAAACGGUACCCUGGACUACCUGGUACAACAAUCGAAGCUGCCUGAAGUAAAUCCACUACUUUUGAUUAAACGUUCUGGUAGCAAGUAUCAAGCAUUUUAUAACGAAAUACUGGCGAAAAAACAUCCUCAAUUUUAUCAAAAACUGAUGCGUCAUUCGGACAUUGCAGAGCCAACUGGAGUCAUCACCAAUUACAUUCGGAUGAA